rnacentral:rRNA from 1 species
UACGGGGGGGGCAAGCGUUGUCCGGAAUUACUGGGCGUAAAGGGCUUGUAGGUGGCCAACUAAGUCAGACGUGAAAUCCCUCGGCUUAACCGGGGAACUGCGUCUGAUACUGGAUGGCUUGAGUUUGGGAGAGGGACGCGGAAUUCCAGGUGUAGCGGUGAAAUGCGUAGAUAUCUGGAGGAACACCGGUGGCGAAGGCGGCGUCCUGGACCAACACUGACACUGAGGAGCGAAAGCCAGGGGAGCAAACGGG